UAAUGAAAUAAGAAUUUAUACAAGACGAUGAAAAGCAAAUGAAAUUUUAAAAAUGAAAAUAACGAAAGAUGCCUGGUAGCCCAUAUAGAGUUCGAGAAACUGAUCAUUUCAGCAGAGGCUGAAUUUAGAGGUUAAGAGUCAGGAAGAAGAGAUGUGAAAUACGGGUGUGUCGAAGAAUACGUUCUAGCGUGGCUGUGCGCAAGGGGAAAGAGACAGAGCGGGGCUCCUGCUUCUACCAGAUAAAAAUAGAUAUUACGAGUUUACCGCGGCGCCAAGAUUGCGGGGUAUCGCGACGAUUACGUCAUCGGUAGUAGCGCGAGUGGUUGGAGCAAGGACGCUUGUCGCGUCGGUCGCCGCCGCCGUCGCCGUCGUCGUCGUGGUCGUCGUCGUUGUCGUGACGAACCACGAAUUUUCGUGUCUAUCUAUGAUCAUCUAUAACCAGCUUUCAGCCGUUUUCGAUAAACUCGUGGCUCGCCCCAUUCAAUCAUGGCGUUUCGAUUGCAAAUGGACGCACGUGCCGCCAAAUAUACACGGUCAUUUUCAUCAAAUAUUAUUCAAGUUUGAGAGGUUAAAUGCUUUUAAAUAAAAAUAAAAUAACGAAUAAAGAUGGCAAAAACUCUCUAUUUAAUUAAAUAAAUGAAUUAUUACUUAGAAAAUUUUAUUAUUCAUAAAAUUUUAAUAUAAUAUCCUAUUUUAAAAUUGUAUGCUAACAUAGAUGAUAUGGAAAUUAUACAAAUUUAUUCGCAGAGGCCAAAGACUCUGAUGUCUGAAUAGAUCAAUUGUACUUAUGUUAAUUACAAAUUAUAAAAUUGUUUUAUAAUAUAUGGUAAGAUAUAUUAAGUAAGUAUAUUAUGAUAAAUAAUAAUAAUAUAAUAUC
rnacentral:lncRNA from 1 species